CGAACGCUGGCGGCAGGCCUAAUACAUGCAAGUCGAACGGCUCUUCGGAGCAGUGGCGGACGGGUGAGUAACGCGUGGGAAUGUGCCCUUAGGUACGGAACAACACAGGGAAACUUGUGCUAAUACCGUAUGUGCCCUUCGGGGGAAAGAUUUAUCGCCUUUGGAGCAGCCCGCGUUGGAUUAGGUAGUUGGUGAGGUAAAGGCUCACCAAGCCGACGAUCCAUAGCUGGUCUGAGAGGAUGACCAGCCACACUGGGACUGAGACACGGCCCAGACUCCUACGGGAGGCAGCAGUAGGGAAUCUUGCGCAAUGGGCGAAAGCCUGACGCAGCCAUGCCGCGUGUAUGAUGAAGGUCUUAGGAUUGUAAAAUACUUUCACCGGGGAAGAUAAUGACGGUACCCGGAGAAGAAGCCCCGGCUAACUUCGUGCCAGCAGCCGCCGCGG
rnacentral:rRNA from 1 species